GAUUGCCUUAGUAGCGGCGAGCGAAACGGCAGGAGGGCAAACCGAAGAGUUUACUCUUCGGGGUUGUAGGACUGCAAUGUGGACUCAAAGAUUAUAGAAGAAUGAUUUGGGAAGAUCAGCCAAAGAGAGUAAUAGCCUCGUAUUUAAAAUAGUCUUUGUACCUAGCAGUAUCCUGAGUACGGCGGGACACGUGAAAUCCCGUCGGAAUCUGGGAGGACCAUCUCCCAACCCUAAAUACUCCCUAGUGACCGAUAGUGAACCAGUACCGUGAGGGAAAGGUGAAAAGCACCCCGGGAGGGGAGUGAAAUAGAACCUGAAACCGUGUGCCUACAACAAGUUCGAGCCCGUUAAUGGGUGAGAGCGUGCCUUUUGUAGAAUGAACCGGCGAGUUACGUUAUGAUGCGAGGUUAAGUUGAAGAGACGGAGCCGUAGGGAAACCGAGUCUGAAUAGGGCGCCUUAGUAUCAUGACGUAGACCCGAAACCAUGUGACCUACCCAUGAGCAGGUUGAAGGUGCGGUAAGACGCACUGGAGGACCGAACCAGGGCACGUUGAAAAGUGCUUGGAUGACUUGUGGGUAGCGGAGAAAUUCCAAACGAACUUGGAGAUAGCUGGUUCUCUCCGAAAUAGCUUUAGGGCUAGCGUCGACAUUAGAGAUUCUUGGAGGUAGAGCACUGUUUGGGUGAGGGGUCCAUCCCGGAUUACCAAUCUCAGAUAAACUCCGAAUGCCAAUGAAUUAUGGUCGGCAGUCAGACUGCGAGUGCUAAGAUCCGUAGUCGAAAGGGAAACAGCCCAGACCACCAGCUAAGGUCCCAAAAUAAUUGUUAAGUGGAAAAGGAUGUGGGGUUGCACAGACAACUAGGAUGUUAGCUUAGAAGCAGCUAUUCAUUCAAAGAGUGCGUAAUAGCUCACUAGUCGAGUGACCCUGCGCCGAAAAUGUACCGGGGCUAAAACAAUUUACCGAAGCUGUGGAUACCUUUAUAGGUAUGGUAGGAGAGCGUUCUAUGUGUGAUGAAGGUAUACCGUGAGGAGUGCUGGAACGCAUAGAAGUGAGAAUGCCGGUAUGAGUAGCGAAAGACAGGUGAGAAUCCUGUCCACCGUAAGACUAAGGUUUCCAGGGGAAGGCUCGUCCGCCCUGGGUUAGUCGGGACCUAAGGAGAGACCGAAAGGUGUAUCCGAUGGACAACAGGUUGAUAUUCCUGUACUAGAGUAUGUAGUGAUGGAGGGACGCAGUAGGCUAACUAAAGCAGACGAUUGGAAGAGUCUGUCUAAGCAGUGAGGUGUGAAUUGAGUCAAAUGCUUAAUUCUAUAACAUUGAGCUGUGAUGGGGAGCGAAGUUUAGUAGCGAAGUUAGUGACGUCACACUGCCAAGAAAAGCUUCUAGCGUUUAAACAUACUCUACCCGUACCGCAAACCGACACAGGUAGUCGAGGCGAGUAGCCUCAGGUGAGCGAGAGAACUCUCGUUAAGGAACUCGGCAAAAUGACCCCGUAACUUCGGGAGAAGGGGUGCUGACUUAAAGUCAGCCGCAGUGAAUAGGCCCAAGCAACUGUUUAUCAAAAACACAGCUCUCUGCUAAAUCGUAAGAUGAUGUAUAGGGGGUGACGCCUGCCCGGUGCUGGAAGGUUAAGAGGAGUGCUUAGCGUAAGCGAAGGUAUGAAUUGAAGCCCCAGUAAACGGCGGCCGUAACUAUAACGGUCCUAAGGUAGCGAAAUUCCUUGUCGGGUAAGUUCCGACCCGCACGAAAGGCGUAAUGAUUUGGGCACUGUCUCAACGAGAGACUCGGUGAAAUUUUAGUACCUGUGAAGAUGCAGGUUACCCGCGACAGGACGGAAAGACCCCAUGGAGCUUUACUGCAGUUUGAUAUUGAGUGUCUGUACCACAUGUACAGGAUAGGUAGGAGUCUAAGAGAUCGGGACGCCAGUUUCGAAGGAGACGCUGUUGGGAUACUACCCUU
rnacentral:rRNA from 1 species